ensembl:snoRNA
CCUCCAAUUCUUGUCAUGCAUGGAGUUGCUUUGUAUAGAAUAUUUGUGCACAUCCUGGUGUUAUGUCUUCAGUACCAGCAGCUUCCCUCUGCUGGUUCUAUCCUCACUCACCAAGGCAUGU